GCCAAUCUUGCACGAUCAUGUGUGGAUGAAGAGCCUUGUUUAAGACCAAGUGCAGAAGAAAUUGUGGAGAAGUUAUCAAGACUGGUUGAAGAAUCACCAGAAGGAGAGCACAUGUUAAUCUGCGAAAGCUCAUCAAAGCCUCUAGUGAAGGCUGCAGCAACCAGUCUGUGAAUGAUAAUAACAAGUUCAAAGGAUCCAAAAGCUGCAGCCACCAGUAGGGAAUUCCAGUUCUUGGUUGGUUUUAGAAUCUUGAUGAGUGGGAUCAAUAGUGCAUAUAUAUAAUCAAGAAAAUGAAUGAACACAGCAAGCAGGUCUCUACUUUGUAUUCUGUUUCAGCUUCUGAAGAAUAAUAGAAUCACAUAUAUU
rnacentral:misc_RNA from 1 species